rnacentral:rRNA from 1 species
UGGGGAAUAUUGGGCAAUGGGGGAAACCCUGACCCAGCAACGCCGCGUGAAGGAAGAAGGCCCUCGGGUUGUAAACGCCUUUUACCAGGGACGAAGAAUGUGACGGUACCUGGAGAAAAAGCAACGGCUAACUACGUGCCAGCAGCCGCGGUAAUACGUAGGGGGCAAGCGUUGUCCGGAAUGACUGGGCGUAAAGGGUGUGUAGGCGGUUUUACAAGUUAGAUGUGAAAUACCCAGGGCUUAACUCGGGUGCUGCAUCUAAGACUGUAAGACUUGAGUGUCGGAGAGGUAAAUGGAAUUCCUAGUGUAGCGGUGGAAUGCGUAGAUAUUAGGAGGAACACCAGUGGCGAAGGCGAUUUACUGGACGAUAACUGACGCUGAGGCACGAAAGCUGGGGGAGCAAACAGGAUUAGAUACCCUGGUAGU